GGCCUGUGUAGCAAGGUUAAGAACUGAGAGGUUUGGAGCCGUAGCGAAAGCGAGUCUGAAGAGGGCGACAUAGUUACACGGGGCAGACCCGAAACCGGGUGACCUAUCCAUGGCCAGGUUGAAGUGGUGGUAAAACACCAUGGAGGACCGAACCAAACGUGUGUUGAAAAACGCGGGGAUGAGCUGUGGAUAGCGGAGAAAUUCCAAUCGAACCCGGAGAUAGCUGGUUCUCCUCGAAAUAGCUUUAGGGCUAGCCUCGUAUUAGAUGAUCGGAGGUAGAGCACUGAAUGGGCUAGGGGGCCCAAAGCUUACCGAACCCUAUCAAACUGCGAAUGCCGAAUCAUUGAUGUACGGGAGUCAGUCCGCGAGAGAUAAGUUCCGCGGGCAAAAGGGGAACACCCCAGACCUUCCGCUAAGGUCCCCAAGUGCACGUUAAGUGGAGAAGGAUGUGUGAUUGCACAGACAACCAGGAUGUUGGCUUAGAAGCAGCCAUUCAUUCAAAGAGUGCGUAAUAGCUCACUGGUCGAGUGGUCAUGCGCCGAAGAUGUACCGGGGCUCAAACGUGACACCGAAGCGAAGGAUUCGAUUUAAAAUCGAGUGGUAGAGGAGCAAUGUGUACGGGCAGAAGCUGUACCGAGAGGAGCAGUGGACUGUGCACAAGAGAGAAUGCCGGUAUGAGUAGCGAGAGGCAUGCGAGAAACAUGCCCGUCGAAAGCCUAAGGUUUCCUGGGGAAGGUUCAUCCGCCCAGGGUCAGUCGGGACCUAAGCCGAGGACGGAAGUCGUAGGCGAUGGACAGCAGGUGGAGAUUCCUGCACCGCCUGGAGAAUGAAGCAAUGACACAGAAGGAUAGCAUGAGCCGGGUGAUGGUCAACCCGGUUUCCCAGCGAGGGUGCCGCGUAGUGAAGUACGCGCGGCGAAAAGCCUGAGCGAAGGAGGGAGCGAAAUCAGAGUAGCGAAGCAUGCGAUUUCACGCUGGCGAGAAAAGUUGCUGGUAUAUCGAAGAGGCGCCCGUACCGCAAACCGACGCAGGUAGGCGAGAAGAGAAUUCUAAGACGAACGGGAGAACCCUUGUUAAGGAACUCGGCAAAAUGACCCCGUAACUUCGGGAGAAGGGGUGCCGACGAAAGUCGGUCGCAGAGAAUAGGCUCAAGCGACUGUUUAGCAAAAACACAGGUAUCUGCGAAAGCGAGAGCUGACGUAUAGGUGCUGACACCUGCCCGGUGCUGGAAGGUUAAGGGGACAUGUCAUCGCAAGAGAAGCAUAGAACCGAAGCCCCAGUAAACGGCGGCCGUAACUAUAACGGUCCUAAGGUAGCGAAAUUCCUUGUCGGGUAAGUUCCG
rnacentral:rRNA from 1 species